AGCGAACGCUGGCGGCAGGCCUAACACAUGCAAGUCGAACGAACUCUUCGGAGUUAGUGGCGGACGGGUGAGUAACACGUGGGAACGUGCCUUUUGGUUCGGAAUAACUCAGGGAAACUUGUGCUAAUACCGAAUGUGCCCUUCGGGGGAAAGAUUUAUCGCCAUUAGAGCGGCCCGCGUCUGAUUAGCUAGUUGCUGAGGUAACGGCUCACCAAGGCGACGAUCAGUAGCUGGUCUGAGAGGAUGACCAGCCACACUGGGACUGAGACACGGCCCAGACUCCUACGGGAGGCAGCAGUGGGGAAUCUUGCGCAAUGGGCGAAAGCCUGACGCAGCCAUGCCGCGUGAAUGAUGAAGGUCUUAGGAUUGUAAAAUUCUUUCACCGGGGACGAUAAUGACGGUACCCGGAGAAGAAGCCCCGGCUAACUUCGUG
rnacentral:rRNA from 1 species